rnacentral:misc_RNA from 2 species
AGAGUCUGCAAUGCCCAAAGUCGGUGAGAUAACCUUUAUAGGAGUCAGCCGCCUAAGGUAGGGCAGAUGACUGGGGUGAAGUCGUAACAAGGUAGCCGUAGGAGAACCUGCGGCUGGAUCACCUCCUUUCUAAGGAAAACGGAUGGAUGGAGAGCAGAAAUGCUAAGAGAAAGUCCAUCCAGUUACGGAAGCACACUGCAAAAGAAACUUUGUUCAGUUUUGAGAGUAUCAGCUCUCACUUGUACGUUGAAAACUGAAUAUCUUAAUUCAAGAAAAAACCGAGAAUCAUUGAGAUCAAUGAAAACAUUGCAAAGCGACCGAGAGAGUUCGAAAGAACAAACUUGCAAGGUCAAGUGAAGAAGGGCGCACGGUGAAUGCCUUGGCACUGGAAGCCCGAUGAAGGACGCGACUAACCGCGAAAGUCUUCGGGAGCCGUAAGUAGGCUUUGAUCCGGAGGUCUCCGAAUGGGGGAACCCAGCAUGUGCAGAAUGCUAUCCUUAAGUGAAUACAUAGCUUAAGGAGGGAACACGCAGCGA